CUGUUAGUAGAGUGGGAAGUGUUUUCCUUGCAAAUCCUUUAGAACCCAAUUAGCUAAUUUGUAAUGUAAACUUCCCGACAGAUCUGUGGUCAGAUUUGCUCGCCAGCAGGACCCGAUCAAACCGAGCGGACCACACGAGAGAGAGAGAGAGAGAGAAGCGAUGGCUCGAGUCCCCCAGACCUCCUCUGCCAGAGACAAUCGCCAGCCCCCAUUGGGGCCGGAGGGGGAACGGCGCGAUCUGAUUGGGCUGCUUUGGAGACAACGCCCCCCCCCCCCCCCGACACACACACACCCUUCAUCCGCACCGCCAGGGUUGGCCCAAUUCUUUUCUGAUCAGUUUAGUGACAUGAAACUGCGCAUGGAACAUGGAGCCAGGUGAGAAUUCAGGAGCAAAGAUUCGGGAUGUCUUUCCCAGGAAGAUGUGCGUUAUUAUGGCUGAACCUGCCCAAUGCUGAGAGAAAUUUUCAGAAGAGUUACACCAUAGAUAUCGGCUAAAGAAGAUUGAAACUGGAGAGGGAGCUCUCACCACACCAACCUGUAUGACAGUGCUACCACCCCAGGAAUAAAGUGUGUUCUUCCAAGGUGAAGAGGGGAGAUCUCCCACUCCUUUUAACAGCAUAGCUUUCCUUUACUUUAAACCUUGUCAACACAGAAUUUGGCCCAUGAGUCCCCUGACAUGGGGUGAGGUGGGGGGAAACUAGAUUGAAAUAAAAGGAGAUUGACAGGGUUGAUUUCCUUCCUGAUCCUGAUUGCCACCACCAACUACUAGAGAAAUGAAAGUUAUUUGUGAUGCUGCAAUAAUUCCCAAUAGUUCUGGUUUAAAUGAUUGUGCUAUAUGAUAGAUUCUCGGCAAACAAGUAGAGAACAAGACUGGAAAUAUGUUUUAGAGUGGUGUAGUGUACAAGUAGCUCAUCAGAAAUCUUUGCUCGUUAUUUCUAGGUAUUUGUUUUCAUGUUCCAUUGAAUGAUCAUUUAAGAGAGUGUACUUGUGUUGAUGCCUGUAGGGAGGAGCAUAUGAAUAUGCAAAUAAUAAUAUAUGUGAUAGAUUUUGCUAUUUGAAUAUCAAUAUGCUAGAUAUUUUACUAUACGUUGUCAUAGUGUAGGACCAGCUGAUCACAUUUUACUGAGUAUUUCUAUAAAAGCAGUUUUGUGAUUUACUGAGGGUCAAAGGUACACAUACACACUAGCAUGUAUUAAAGUUGUGGAAAACAUUUUCCACAUAACAGACAGCUGGCACAAUUUUGCCAGAAAAGCUGACACUUAUGAAUGAAAAAUAAAGCAAACAGAAACCCGUGUUACCUUAGAGGACAAUGGGACAGCUUCAGGGCAUGGAGUAAAUUCUGCUUGUCUUGACAUGGAGACACUGGCUGAAUUUUGCCCAAGAGAUGUUAGCAACAUUCAGAUUCCUAAUGGAAGAGUGGGGCGAUGGGAGUAGGGUCUUUUAGCACAUAUGGAAAAACACACAUAGAAAUGAUGAAAAAAUGUAUUUAAGCAGCAAAAGCAGCAUGUACAGUACCCCUGUAACAAAGUUUGAAGCAGGGACUUUUCUUGACAAUAAAAAUAAUGCACACAACAUUAGUUUGUUUUGGUGGGAGCGAGAAUGCAAGAAAGAUGGAGGGGGGCGGGAUUGGAGCCUGCAAGUGAUAGCAACAACCACCAAAUGAAGGAUAGAGAAACAAAGAAGGAAGGAAAGAGCAGAGAUAAAAGCAAGGGCAGAUGCUGUUCAGUCAUUGGAAAAGUUGGAGCACUAGCUAAGGUCAGUGCCCCAAGCAGCAGUGUCAAUAACCACAAGUAUAAUAGAAGUAACGGAGCUCUAAUUAGCAGCAUCUUCUUCAUGUCUUCUGGCCUAACCAAAGCCAGUAGCAGAGGCAUCUACUAAAGAGCCAAGAGAUCUUCUACAUAUAACUAAAAGAGUCUUCUCUACAGGGUCAGACCAAAGGUCCAUCUAGCCCAGUAUCCUUACUUCUGACAGUGGCCAAUGCCAGGUGCUCCAGACAGGGAAUGAAUAGAAUAGGUAAUCAUCAAGUGAUCCAUCCACUGUCACCCAUUCCCAUAUGAGUUCAUCACUGAAAGACUCAGAGAAAUCACACAGUGAGCCCAAUGGUUUUGGUAGCCUCUAGUUUGAGCCAAAUCAUUGAUGUCUUUUUCACACAAGUAGUCCCAUUUAUUAAGGAUGAGCGCAUAAAAAUGUAUUUGUUAUGCAUGUAACCUUAGGCAAUCACAUUUCAAAAUGCUGGCCUAUGUGACUUGCUUAAAGCUACAUGGUGAGUCAGUGGCAGAAUCAGGAACAGAAACUGUGGGUCUAAUUCAGAGGUGAUAUAUAAAGGAGUGUAAGUUAGACUCCUUUACAUUAACUUGUGCUCCCUUAAUGCAAUUUACAGUAAUGCUACUGGUGUGCAAGGGAGUCUGAAUUAGAGUAAUUUAUAAGCCAAAUUGCCAGAAGAAGGGCCUUGCCACUACAGAUGUGACCUCCCUAUGACAUCCCUGACCGUAAUGGCAUCGCUGCCUGCCUGAAGUAUCUACAAAAGAAUGGGCAACCCUCAGAAAUCUACCCCAAACACAUUGCCAAAAUCAUCAAUUUCAGCCUCACUCAUAACUUUAUAUUUAACAACAAACACUUUGUCCAAACCAUGGGAACAGCCAGGAGUACUAGAAUGUCUCACCAAUAGAUCAGCCUCUUCAUGGGCCAUCUCAAGGAACAAUUUCUAGGAAAAUGCACCAUGAAACCAGUGAUAUACCUGACAUCCAUUGAUAUUUUCAUCCUCUGGAUAGAUGACCUAAACUCCCUUCUAGAUUUCCAUCACAACUUCAACCACCACCACCCAUCCCAUCAAACUUUCUAAAAUACUCCAGCACCAGCAUCAACUUCCUGGACACUGUGAUCAGCUUCAGCAGUGGAACCCUAUAGACAACUAUAUACAAGAAACCCAUAGAUCAUCACACGUACCUCUUCAAAUCCAGUAGCCACCCCAGACACCCCAAGCAGAGCUGGUGCUAGUCCACUGGGGGCCCUAAGCAAGAAUAUUUGGGGGGGGGAGGUGCCCCA